rnacentral:rRNA from 1 species
AUUGAACGCUGGCGGAAUGCUUUACACAUGCAAGUCGAACGGUAGAGGGGGCAACCCCUCGAGAGUGGCGAACGGGUGAGUAAUAUAUCGGAACGUGCCCAGUCGUGGGGGAUAACGUAGCGAAAGUUACGCUAAUACCGCAUACGAUCUAAGGAUGAAAGCGGGGGAUCGCAAGACCUCGCGCGAUUGGAGCGGCCGAUAUCAGAUUAGGUAGUUGGUGGGGUAAAGGCUCACCAAGCCAACGAUCUGUAGCUGGGAUGAGAGGACGAACCACCAAGCUGGAACUCUGAGACGGUGCAGACUCCGACGGGAGGCAGCAGUGUGGAAUUUUGGACAAUGGACAGAAGUCUGAUGCAGCCAUUCCGCGUGCAGGAUGCAGUCCCGCGGGUUGUAAACUGCUUUUGUGCGGAACGAAAAGGUCUCUCUUAAUCCGUGGGACUCAUGGCGGUACCGUAAGAAUAAGCAACGGCUACCUACGUGCCAGCCGCCGCAGUAA